AGAGAGAGAGAGAGAGAUAGAGAUAGAGACAAACCAGAGAGAGGCUCUGAAAAAAACUUGUUAGAUCUGAAAAUCCAGAUUUACAGAUGAAGUUUCUGGACCAUCGGCAGAUCAAACUUCUUCAAAGACACCCAAAGGUGUCAAGUUUUGUGAACCCGGGGAAGAAGUACUGCCCUGUCAGUUGGUCUAAUCUUUGCAGCUGUUUUAAAGAAGGGGGUCUAUGGGUGAAGGAUAUUGUGAUUGCUAGUGCUGCUAAUAUACCGUGUCUGGUAAACGUACCAUUUGGACUGAUUGGGUCCAUAAGAAUCUGUUAAAGCAUAUAAGUUUCUGGUGUAUCUCAACUCUUUUAGAUGAUUCUAGGUGCUGGAGGAGAAUCCUUGAUCAGAGGAGUGUUGCUAAGGAUUUGGUCAUCAGCAUUCUGGUUGGUGGUGAAGAUACUAAGAUGCUUACUGAUCUUUGGUACACUAAGAAAAGGAUUAUUGAGUGGAUGGAUGCUAGCAUUAUUCAAACUGGUUUCCAUAAUGGAAAGGUGGCUGAGUUUAUUGAAGGUGAUCAUUGGAAUCUGCCUAGAAGUGAGACUGCUGCAGUUUACAGUGUCUUAUCUCAGCUUGCUAGUGUUGCAUUUGAUGCUUUUGAAAAGUAUAAGGCGGUUUUAUCUGUUUGCUCUUCUGGGGAUUCAACAUGAUAGAUACUUAUAAUGCUAUUCUCCCUAACGGAGAGAGCCAAAGUUGGUGCACUUCGGUGUGGUUUAAAUUCUCUAAUCCCCAGACACUCUUUAAUAUCCUGGUUGUCUUUACAGGGAAGAUUGAAGAUGAGGGACAAAUUGCUGUACUGGGGCUUGAUGGUUAGUGCUAAUUGCUUAUUCUGUUAUGCUCUGGUGGAGAAUGGGAGUCACUUGUUUCAUGGAUUUUAUCGAAAUAUAGAGACUUGAAGAAAGAAAAGAAGAGGAGCAGAAGUUCAUCAACAUGUGAAUUGUCUCUAAGGAGCAAUCUUCAGAAAUCAUUUGGUUAGUUGGCAUGGGUGCGUCAUUGUUGCAGUGUCUGUAAAGAAAAUCCCUGGCAAAUAUAAUUGGAAGACUUGGGUUUGCCUCUUUACCAAACUUGUAUGGUCAUUCUGUCUGUGUUGUAUAAUCAUGACCUGGAAGGCUAUCCUCUCGCUAUACUGAUGACAUAAGUUUCUCAAGAACUUGUUACUACAGAAAGGUUCAGCAAUUGAGUUCCUUGCCCUUAUAGGAGAUGUCGUUCUUAAGGACUUGAACUGUGAAAGUUGGGUUUAUUGGGAAGAACAGAUUGGAGCUGCAAAACAGUUGGUCAAUGAAGUCAUAAGCGAGUAUCACCUGGUGGAAGUCAUAUAUGACAUAAAGUACUGCUGAAUGCCCUAGAUGCACAUAAAGUACUGCUGAAUGCCCUAGAUGCUGCUGGAAAAAAACACUGCUGCUAUUGAAAAGGGGUUUGCCAUUGGAUCAGUUGCUGUUGUAUCCCUUGCACCUUUUGGUGCCUUUGUGAGUCAUGCAACUAUUUCAACUGUGGAUGUUCUUACCCCAAAAGCCUUUAUUGGUUUACUCGUUGGAGCCGAAAAGCCAAAGAAAAAAACUAGGUGCCGCCGUUCUUGAUCUUGGUUGUGCUCUUUAGCCAAAGUAAAAACUAGGUGCCUCCAUUCUUGAUCUUGGUUGUGCUCUUUAGGUCAGGCGUAUUAGACACCAAUGCUGAAAUUGGUGCAGCUAAAGAAAAAACUAGGUGCUCCUGUUCUUGAUCUUGGUUGUGCUCUUCAGCCAGGAAAUUCAUGGUUGGUUUCAGUCGUUGUUACUGUCAUUGAGAGCCUCAAGAUCUCUAUUGGCAGCUGUCAGAUUUUUGAAGAUGGUACUAAUGAGCUGGCAACUGGUCACAAAGUGGCUUCUUCAUGGGCUCAUAAUUGCCAGCAGAAGAAAAGCUACCACUUCUAUGGAACAUCUCUUUGUCAGUUUUGUCGGCAUUAGAUUCAGUUAUGUGCAACAGUUGAAAGUCGUUAUGGAGGUUGGGUUCUUUUUCCAGCACAUGCUAAAGUCGAGUCUGCAAAACCUAAAGAAGCUGCACACUGGAAUAAUAAUCAAUUGAGGAAAAGCUGAUUUGCUUUAAAUGAGCUUUCCUCAUGCAAAAACAGCAGUGUUUAUAUUUUUCCCAGUAUGCAAGCUUGUUAUCAACUGAAAAAACAUGAUUAAGGAUGUCAUUUGAAAAACUGAUCCAUUGAAUUCCAGAAAAACAAUUGCAGGUGAACUUUUUUUUUCCCUUCUUUGAGUCUGUUCAUUGUUCUACCUAUUAAUUUGGUAUUUGUUUUCUUUCAGAAAAUCCAGUUCUAUAUGGAAUGGACAUUUUGAGUUUUUUGUUGAAGAUGAAACUACUCGGCACUUAGUGCAGAAUAAAGUUGGUUGUUCUAAUUAAAAUUUUGCAGUGGCAAUAUUGGAUGAACUGGAGAAGACACAUACAGAAACAACAAGAGGAGAAAUGUAUGCUUAACAAGAGAAGUAAAAGCUGCAGUUAAGUUGUCAUACAGGCAGAUUACCAAAUAGGUUAGCUGCAGUAUAAAUUUAUGAUAUCAAAGCUUGGAAUUAAAGCUUUGUGAAUGCAGAAUGUAGUCAUGAAUUUUUGUAAAUAAUUUUUAAAAUAAAUAAAUAAAAAUUUGUAAAUAAUUUUUGUUA